rnacentral:rRNA from 1 species
UGGGGAAUAUUGGACAAUGGGCGGAAGCCUGAUCCAGCAACGCCGCGUGAGGGAUGACGGCCUUCGGGUUGUAAACCUCUUUCGCCUGUGACGAAGCGCAAGUGACGGUAACAGGUAAAGAAGCACCGGCCAACUACGUGCCAGCAGCCGCGGUAAUACGUAGGGUGCGAGCGUUGUCCGGAAUUAUUGGGCGUAAAGGGCUCGUAGGCGGUUUGUCGCGUCGGGAGUGAAAACCAGGUGCUUAACACCUGGCUUGCUUUCGAUACGGGCAGACUAGAGGUAUGCAGGGGAGAACGGAAUUCCUGGUGUAGCGGUGAAAUGCGCAGAUAUCAGGAGGAACACCGGUGGCGAAGGCGGUUCUCUGGGCAUGACCUGACGCUGAGGAGCGAAAGUGUGGGGAGCGAACA